GUCCGUCCCGAGCGCGCAGCCGCGGCAGGCCAGGUCAGAGCAGCCCACCAUGGGAUGGGGAGGGGGUGGAGGCUGCACCCCGCGCCCACCCAUCCAUCAGCAGCCGCCGGAGCGCCGCGUGGUCACCGUUGUCUUCCUCGGCCUCCUGCUGGACCUCCUGGCCUUCACGCUGCUGCUGCCCCUGCUGCCUGGGCUGUUGGAGAGCCACGGCCGUGCCCACGACCCCCUCUAUGGCUCCUGGCAGGGCGGGGUGGACUGGUUUGCCACCGCCAUCGGUAUGCCAGUGGAGAAGAGGUACAACAGCGUCCUGUUCGGAGGUCUCAUUGGCUCAGCCUUCUCUGUCCUGCAGUUUCUGUGUGCGCCACUCACUGGGGCCACCUCUGACUGCUUGGGGAGGCGCCCGGUGAUGCUGCUGUGCCUGGUAUGUCCCUGGGCCUGGGUGCCCAUGGGGAAGCCUCCUCCCACCCAGCCAGUAGCGCCAUGGGGUUAGAUGGGGAGAGGGAGGUGGCUGUGGGCCCCUCAUGGCCACUGGUUGGCCCUCAUCGCAUCCUGGAGGGGGUUCUCUGGGGGACCAGUGGCUCCUGUUACAGAGCCAGGCUUUCAAGGAGCUGCUUCUGGCCCCUAGGAAGGCAUUGAGAACACAAGUGGCCCUCAGAUGCUUCGAAAUAGGGCAGGGUCGAGGGGUGUUGCCUGGGUUGCCAAGCCCUACUCUGGGCCACUCCUGGCCUUAAGUGACCGCCCCUGCCCCUUGGCCCCUGCCCCUGGGCAGAUGGGUGUGGCCACCUCAUAUGCAGUCUGGGCCACCUCUCGGAGCUUUGCGGCCUUCCUGGCCUCCAGGCUGAUUGGGGGCAUCAGCAAAGGGAACGUGAGCCUCUCCACGGCCAUCGUUGCUGACCUGGGCUCGCCUCUGGCCCGCAGUCAAGGCAUGGCGGUCAUUGGGGUGGCCUUCUCGCUGGGCUUCACCCUGGGCCCUAUGCUCGGAGCCUCCCUGCCCCUGGAAAUGGCACCCUGGUUUGCCCUGCUCUUCGCAGCCUCCGACCUGCUGUUCAUCUUCUGCUUCCUGCCGGAGACGCUGCCCCUGGAGAAACGGGCGCCCUCUAUCGCCCUGGGCUUUCGUGAUGCGGCCGAUCUGCUCAGCCCCCUGGCCCUGCUGCGCUUCUCGGCUGUCGCUCGUGGCCA
rnacentral:sRNA from 1 species